AGCAGCCGCGGUAAUUCCAGCUCCAAUAGCGUAUAUUAAAGUUGUUGCAGUUAAAAAGCUCGUAGUUGAAUUUCGGGAUUCUACCGUCGGUCGGGCUAACAAGUCUGUACUGGUGUGUAGAAUUUCUACCUUCUGGGGAACCAUCAUGUUAUUAAUUUAGCGUGGUGGGAAACCAGGACCUUUACCUUGAAAAAAUUAGAGUGUUCAAAGCAGGCUUACGUCUGAAUACAUUAGCAUGGAAUAAUAGAAUAGGACGGUGGUCCUGUUUUGUUGGUUUCUGAAUCACCGUAAUGAUUAAUAGGGAUAGUUGGGGGCAUUAGUAUUCAAUUGUCAGAGGUGAAAAUUCUUGGAUUUAUUGAAGACUAACUUCUGCGAAAGCAUUUGCCAAGGAUGUUUUCAUUAAUCAAGAACGAAAGUUAGGGGAUCGAAGACGAUCAGAUACCGUCGUAGUCUUAACCAUAAACUAUGCCGACUAGGGAUCGGACGAUGUUAACCUUUAUGACUCGUUCGGCGCCUUACG
rnacentral:rRNA from 1 species